rnacentral:rRNA from 1 species
UAAGCGCAUACGGUGGAUGCCUUGGCAGUCAGAGGCGAUGAAAGACGUGGAAGCCUGCGAUAAGGUUCGGGGAGCUGGCAAACGAGCUGUGAUCCGGACAUUUCUGAAUGGGGAAACCCACCCGAUUUCGGUCGGGUACCUUGCACUGAAUACAUAGGUGUAAGGGGCGAACCGGGGGAACUGAAACAUCUAAGUACCCCGAGGAAAAGAAAUCAACCGAGAUUCCCUAAGUAGCGGCGAGCGAACGGGGAUUAGCCCUUAAGCUAAACAACUGGUAGGAGAAGGCUCUGGAAAGUGCCGCCAUAGUGGGUGAUAGCCCCGUAUCCGAAACCUGAGUUUAGUGAAAUCGAGUAGGACGGGACACGUGGUAUCCUGUCUGAAUAUGGGGGGACCAUCCUCCAAGGCUAAAUACUCCUGACUGACCGAUAGUGAACCAGUACCGUGAGGGAAAGGCGAAAAGAACCCCUGUGAGGGGAGUGAAAUAGAUCCUGAAACCGUAUGCGUACAAGCAGUCGGAGCAGACUUGUUCUGUGACGGCGUACCUUUUGUAUAAUGGGUCAGCGACUUAUGUUCAGUGGCGAGGUUAACCGUUUAGGGGAGCCGUAGGGAAACCGAGUCUGAAUAGGGCGAUUUAGUCGCUGGGCAUAGACCCGAAACCGGGCGAUCUAUCCAUGAGCAGGUUGAAGGUUGAGUAACAUCAACUGGAGGACCGAACCCACUGUCUUUGAAAAGCCAGGGGAUGACUUGUGGAUCGGAGUGAAAGGCUAAUCAAGCCCGGAGAUAGCUGGUUCUCCCCGAAAGCUAUUUAGGUAGCGCCUCGGACGAAUACCACAGGGGGUAGAGCACUGUUUCGGCUAGGGGGUCAUCCCGACUUACCAACCCGAUGCAAACUCCGAAUACCUGUGAGUACUAUCCGGGAGACACACGGUGGGUGCUAACGUCCAUCGUGAAGAGGGAAACAACCCAGACCGCCAGCUAAGGUCCCCAAGUACCAGUUAAGUGGGAAACGAUGUGGGAAGGCUCAGACAGCUAGGAGGUUGGCUUAGAAGCAGCCAUCCUUUAAAGAAAGCGUAAUAGCUCACUAGUCGAGUCGGCCUGCGCGGAAGAUGUAACGGGGCUCAAACUGGUCACCGAAGCUGCGGCUGCAUACUUUGUAUGCGGGGUAGGGGAGCGUUCUGUAAGCCUGCGAAGGUGAGUUGAGAAGCUUGCUGGAGGUAUCAGAAGUGCGAAUGCUGACAUGAGUAACGACAAUGCGGGUGAAAAACCCGCACGCCGGAAGACCAAGGGUUCCUGCGCAACGCUAAUCGGCGCAGGGUGAGUCGGCCCCUAAGGCGAGACCGAAAGGUGUAGUCGAUGGGAAACGGAUUAAUAUUUCCGUACCUUGGAUAGCUGCGAUGGAGAGACGGAGAAGGCUAGGUGAGCCGGGCGACGGUUGUCCCGGUUUAAGCGUGUAGGGAGUGGACUUAGGCAAAUCCGGGUCCACAAUUCUGAGACGCGACGACGACUGCUCUUUGAGAGCGGGAAGUCAUUGAUGCCCUGCUUCCAGGAAAAUCUUCUAAGCUUCAGGCUAUUCGAGACCGUACCCCAAACCGACACAGGUGGUCAGGUAGAGAAUACCAAGGCGCUUGAGAGAACUCGGGUAAAGGAACUAGGCAAAAUGGUGCCGUAACUUCGGGAGAAGGCACGCUGGUGGUAGGUGAGACCCCUUGCGGGUGGAGCUGACGCCAGUCGAAGAUACCAGGCCCCUGCGACUGUUUAUUAAAAACACAGCACUGUGCAAACACGAAAGUGGACGUAUACGGUGUGACGCCUGCCCGGUGCCGGAAGGUUAAUUGAUGGGGUUAGCAUUCGUGCGAAGCUCUUGAUCGAAGCCCCGGUAAACGGCGGCCGUAACAAUAACGGUCCUAAGGUAGCGAAAUUCCUUGUCGGGUAAGUUCCGACCUGCACGAAUGGCGUAACGAUGGGGGCGCUGUCUCUACCCGAGACUCAGUGAAAUUGAAAUCGCCGUGAAGAUGCGGUGUAUCCGCGGCUAGACGGAAAGACCCCGUGAACCUUUACUAUAGCUUUGCACUGGACUUUGAGCUUGCUUGUGUAGGAUAGGUGGGAGGCUUUGAAGCGUGGACGCCA